rnacentral:rRNA from 1 species
UACGGAGGGAGCUAGCGUUAUCCGGAAUGAUUGGGCGUAAAGCGUCUGUAGGUGGCUUUUUAAGUCCGCCGUCAAAUCCCAGGGCUCAACCCUGGACAGGCGGUGGAAACUACCAAGCUGGAGUACGGUAGGGGCAGAGGGAAUUUCCGGUGGAGCAGUGAAAUGCGUAGAGAUUACUAAGAACACCAAUGGCGAAGGCAGCUUGCUGGGCUUUUUCUGACGCUGAGGUACGAAAGCGUGGGGAGCGAACAGG